AAAUAAAAUAAAUGUUGAUACAAUAGUGUCUUCUUUGUUUUUAAAUACUGAAUAUUGUUGUGUAGACUGCAUUCCUUAUAUACUUUUAUGUACGUUAAAUUAUGCUAAGUUCUACUUUCCAAGUUACAAAUGCAUUUGCCACCACAUAGUGUCUGUCAGAAGUACCUAUUGUGGCUGUAGGUAAAAUUCAAACUCUUCUGUUUCUAGAUCGAAGUGAACCGUCUGAACUGAACAGUUGCAGUGAUGUUUAUCACUGAAAGUGGGAUUUUAAAAUGUUUACUUUUUAAGAUUUUGUUACUGUCAUGUUUUUAAAAAGAAGAGGAAGCUAUUUUUGUUAUUGGAAUUUUAUAAAACAACAUUUUAUUAUAAAAAAAUGAUUUGAAAGUAUAGAAAUGAAAUGAAUAUACAAAAUAGGUAGAAACAGUGGAAUAACUUGGAAAAUGAAAUUAUGAAAAAUUGGUGAAGCCUUUCGUUCCCACUGUACUUUAUGAACUGAAAUUUAAGAAAUGAAUAUCUAAAAUAAAUUAUGUUUAGAACAUGUGUUGUUGGCAGUGACAUAGAUUGCUUUAAUUCAAUCAGAUCUCAAAUGUGUGAAAUUUACUUAAACGGAAUAUUAGAUUCCCAUUAUGACACUUCAGAAAAUUAAUGCCAGACAAUUCAUUUUGAUCAUUAAUAUCAGUAUUCAGCUGUGUAUGUAGUUUUCUGUAAGUUAAAUAUAAAAUGACUCAGGAAGUGUAUACACAUACUAUAAAAUAAAAUGGCUAAAAGGUAAGUCUUUGUGGCCAAAAAAUGUAAACAGUGUAUAAUCUUUAUUCCAUUAUAUGUAGAGAUUUUUGUAUGAACAAUUUUCAGUUUGUGAAUAUUUAAAAGGUUAAAUAUGCAUGAAGUCUGCACAUACAUUCUUCUGUUACCAAAGGCACCUUCUGAGUUAGUUACACACAGAGGCUAGGUUACUUGUAUAAUGCAUAAUGUAGCAUACUGAAAAUAAAGACUACAGUCCAUUUACCUCCUAUCCAAUGUAACCUUGAUUCGGUUAACUGACACUGAAUCUUUCCAUGUUAUCUCCAUAACAGUUAAAACUUUUGAAUGGAACAUUACUUUUUAUUUUUUCUAUAAUUGUGUUCAUGCAUAAAAAGCCAUGCUUUUUAAGAUCUCUUAGGCAACUUAUAGUAAAAUAUGUCAUACUGUAAAUUUGUAACUUGUUAAAUUCUGCAACUUUAAAUGAACCAUUUUUCCGUCUGUGAGAUUUUGGGUUCUUGUGGCAGUGAGUAAUCAGAAUAUGGUCAUCUAGGAUGUGAUGCUGUGUAGUUUGGUUGGUGUACUACUGCCAUCUUUUACCAUAAAGGUGGAUUGCAGCAGGUUCCUCUGAAAUGUGGGUGCCAAUUAAUUGAUAAUGAAAUUGUUAUAUGUACAAAAAAUUAUGAAUAUUUUCAGUAAAAAAAUUACCUACCUAUAUCAUUUUUUGCAUUCAAACUUCUCUCCUGUAUACAAAUUAUAGAAAAUAUGAAAAUUAAAAAUUAUAAUUAAGGCAGUUUUGAAUGUAACCAGUUCGUAAAAGUCAGCUUAGAACAUACACCGUAGAUUAAUAUCACAUAUUUUUGCAUGACAUAAAAAUUGACAGUUCUCUCAUGUUGUCUUAGGAAUAAGGACCUGCACUUUUACACCUGAUGCUUAUGUGUGCAUGUAUGGUCAGUAUUUUUAAAAACCUUCAAUUUGUUUACUGAUAAGGAAAAUGCCGUUAUUGUGUGUUACAUGAACUCCGAUUAAUGUGUAUUAUGAAAUAGCAAACAUAUAUCGAUGUUAUAUUUCAGCUCUAGCACCAGAAUUCUGUCCCAUGGGGGUAUGUGCAAUUAUCCAGUCAAAAACUCAUAAAAUCAUUCAAAUCAUAUGAAACAAGAAACAUGGGGUUACCGAGAGUUCAGUUCAUUCAGUGCUGCUCAUAAGAUAAAAAGCAGAGUUUCCAGCACUGAAUAUCAAUGAUGCACAAAUUUUCUGUCACUAAUUAAGACCAAAAGUUUUUGUUGAUGGUAUAUUAAUGUGAUUACUGACUUUUUGGAUGUUAUACAUUGUCCUGUUUUAUAUUUAAAACAGGAUGGUGGAUAAUGUACAAAGAGUCGAUAUUUGUAUUUUUUGUCAUGGGUUAACUCACUGGAGCCUUGGCCAACUCUCUGUCCCUGGCUGAGUGGGGCAAAGUAUCUCAGAUGUUAAGUAAUUCACAGAUUCUGUAAAUGACUGUCAAGAUUUGCUGGAUAGACUCCCCAGAGAAGCCAUAAAGUAAUGAAACUUGUUGUUGGUUCAUAAGAAGCUGACAGAGGCUGUAUCACUGUAGACACAGACAGAAGAAAUGGAUUGUUAAUUGAGAAUAUUUCUCACAUUAUGACAGUGAAGCUAUUAAGGAAACCUUUCACAAAUCGGAAUGUGAUACCAUCCGUCAAAUCAUUGUUAACACAAGGGCAACACAAAGCAGAUAAUGAUGGAAUGAGAAAAGAAAUGAGACCAGAAUGUCCACAAUAGCAGAUAGCCAUUUGCAGACUCCUUUAGCUUCGCACUUCAUUUCUUUGGUUAUGACGCAACAGUGACCAAUUAAGUGAGGCAUGAAUUGCUUGAAGCCCGUGGAUGUUAAUUUGCAGUAUUCCUGUGGUCACUGCGAGAUCAGCGUUUUCCUACCGUCUAAGCCAGAAAGAAGAGGAUUUAAUUACGCAAGACCCAGAAUUACUUUCAGGCCUUACAGAUGAAAGGAGCAACUUCGUUAAAAUCGAACUUUUUUCAGCAUAUACAAGUCUCUACUCCGCCAAGUACUGGCUCCUAACCAUCUCCUUCAUGUAGAGUGACUGAUUUAACAGCCACUAAUUCGACAUGUCGCUCACAUAGAGGGAUUCUUUUGGUUCUUAGAAGAAAGUGCAACUGCUUUCUACGCACGACUAAAUUACCGUUAUUUGUAACAGGUGCCAUGUGCUGUCUUGUAUUUAGGAAUCUAAUUUUUUAAUGAUGUUUACGUAUGCUCCCCCCUUCGAAAGAUUUAAGAAAGUUUCAUGACAAUUGUGCAAGCAUGAGCGGAAAUUCAUGAAGAUUAUAGACCUAUCUUGGGCCGUUUCAAUGCCAGAUGUGUCAGAUAUUAUUUUUAACUUUUAGUUACUUUAAAAUUAUGUAUGUAAACG